AUUGAACGCUGGCGGCAGGCCUAACACAUGCAAGUCGAACGAGUGGCGGACGGGUGAGUAAUGUCUGGGAAACUGUCCGAUGGAGGGGGAUAACUACUGGAAACGGUAGCUAAUACCGCAUACCAUCGGAUGUGCCCAGAUGGGCGUAGCUUGUAGGUGAGGUAACGGCUAACCUAGGAGACGAUCCCUAGCUGGUCUGGGAGGAUGACCAGCCACACUGGAACUGAGACACGGUCCAGACGCCUACGGGAGGAAGCAGUGGGGAAUAUUGGACAAUGGGCGCAAGCCUGAUGCAGCCAUGCCGCGUGUAUGAAGAAGGCCUUCGGGUUGUAAAGUACUUUCAGCAGGGAGGCGUUACCCACAGAAGAAGCACCGGCUAACUCCGUGCCAGCAGCCGCGGUAAUUC
rnacentral:rRNA from 1 species